UUGCACCACUCAGGCACACCUUGGGAGGGGCUUGGAGGUCAGAGCCUACUGGGGCUUCACUUCCCCAAGCACGGAGGGGUCCACCCAGGCUUGAGGGUAGCAGGGAACAGACGUACAGAGGCACUGGAGACUCAGCUCUGCCGGUCGGCCUGUGGGUCCUCUUGCCCCGACGCGUUCCCCACCCAGCUCUAGAACCCUCCGUCACCCCAGUACGGUGGUCUGCGACGCUCGCCUGCAGCGGAAGCGCGGCGUGCCAUCCCCCCGCUGUGUCAGCCACUCCCCCUCGACAGCCAACCCCCCCCCUCUUCGGCGCGGGCCCCCGGCCCCCGCCCUCUGCACCACACGCCCACG
rnacentral:lncRNA from 1 species